rnacentral:rRNA from 1 species
GAUGAACGCUGGCGGCGUGCCUAAUACAUGCAAGUCGAGCGAACGGACGAGAAGCUUGCUUCUCUGAUGUUAGCGGCGGACGGGUGAGUAACACGUGGAUAACCUACCUAUAAGACUGGGAUAACUUCGGAAAACCGGAGCUAAUACCGGAUAAUAUUUUGAACCGCAUGGUUCAAAAGUGAAAGACGGUCUUGCUGUCUCUUAUAGAUGGAUCCGCGCUGCAUUAGCUAGUUGGUAAGGUAACGGCUUACCAAGGCAACGAUGCAUAGCCGACCUGAGAGGGUGAUCGGCCACACUGGAACUGAGACACGGUCCAGACUCCUACGGGAGGCAGCAGUAGGGAAUCUUCCGCAAUGGGCGAAAGCCUGACGGAGCAACGCCGCGUGAGUGAUGAAGGUCUUCGGAUCGUAAAACUCUGUUAUUAGGGAAGAACAUAUGUGUAAGUAACUGUGCACAUCUUGACGGUACCUAAUCAGAAAGCCACGGCUAACUACGUG